GAUGAACGCUAGCGGCAGGCUUAAUACAUGCAAGUCGUGGGGCAGCAUGAGUAGCAAUACUUGAUGGCGACCGGCAAACGGGUGAGGAACACGUACACAACCUUCCUUCAAGCGGGGAAUAGCCCAGAGAAAUUUGGAUUAAAUACCCCAUAAUAUAUUUGAUAAGGCAUCUUAUUAAUAUUAAAGCUUCGGCACUUGAUGAUGGGUGUGCGGCUGAUUAGAUAGUUGGCGGGGUAACGGCCCACCAAAGUCUACGAUCAGUAGCUGAUGUGAGAGCAUGAUCAGCCACACGGGCACUGAGACACGGGCCCGACUCCUACGGGAGGCAGCAGUUAAAGGGAAUAUUGGACAAAUGGAGAAAGUACUGAUCCAGCC
rnacentral:rRNA from 1 species